rnacentral:lncRNA from 1 species
AUAUUUUUAACUUGUAGCUGAUGACCGAUAUGGAUAAAACAUUGAUAAUCUUAUAUUUCAGCUGUAUUGUAUAUAUUGCUAUUUUUAUGCCCCCUUAUGCACCUAGAAAUACUUCAUGAAGUAUGCAAUGAGCUCAUUGUCAUUAAUUAUGUGAGAGUUGGACUUGUCAAUAUUAGUGAACUUCAGAGAACUUCCCUGAUAUGGACAAUCUAAACUUGACCAUUCCCCAUCC